CCCUUUGGUAACCAUAAGUUUGUUAGUGAUGUCUGUAAGUUUGCUUCUGUUUUGUAAAUAAGUUCAUUUGUAUCUUUUUUAAAGUUAGAUUUCACGUAUGAGUGAUAUCACAUGAAAUUUGUCUCUGUCUGACUUCACUUAGUAUGAUAAUUGCUAGGUCCAUCCAUGUUGCUGCAAAUGGCAUUAUUUCAUUCUUUUUCAGAGAUGAUUUACUACAUACUUUUGAGUAGUGUGACAGGCAAAAAACUAUGUUCAUCUGAUUCUAUUUCAUAUGAGUUUUGCUUGGGCACAUGGAAAACCACACUUCCUAGUUUGUUAAGCAGAUCAUAUGCCUAUUUUUGACAAAUGAGUCAUGAGCAUACAGGACAUUUGUCACUCCUGGUCUGAAGCAAUGGGAACUUGUUGUGCGCUUAUUCAGACUUUCUCUUCCUUUGCAGCAGUGCCUUGAAAGAAUCCACUUUUUGAGCUGACAGAGCCACAAGAUUGAAGCAAUCUGCAUUCCUGCUGCUUGAGUGAAGUUUUUUAUGCUCUGAUUUACUUCCUCUUCUCCUGCAACUCCAAUGUCACAUUUAGGAAAGGAGAAAUGCAUAUUAGAGGCAUAAAAAUAGAAGUCUCUCCUCGGGUAGAUACCACCUGCUCUAUGCGGAGUCUCUCCUUUUCUUUGCAAUUUUAGCAAAGUACAUUUGACAAGAGUUUUCUGUCUGCGGAACGCUGUCAAUGAAAGAAGAGGAUCUGCUUUAUUCUGGGGAAAUGCUAUCAGUCAUGAUAGUCACAGAUCAGCAAACAGUGUAACAAGAUGGCAAAAAUUCUCCAAGCAAAAAAGGAAUAAAAAGCUUCCAUGCCAAGAUCACAUCUAGAGCAAGACCAUAAAGUACUUUGUGAAGACUUCAAAGAAAUAUAGAAUGGUGCUUCAAUGAAACCUUUAGAAAGAGAGUAGGCUGAGACUAUUCAGUUCAACCUGUUUUCUCAUGGAGAAAGGAUGGAUGACUCAGAGUGUUGCAUCAAGAACUCAGAAAAUGGAGGCACGAUCUAUGGAGAAUCACUCCCAGGAAGCAGAACCAGGCUGCACCCAAGACCUGACAACGUGCGCCUAGUCAGGUUUCAGUGUGUGCCCAGUCCAUGGGACUAUCCCAUGCAGUCUGGUUUCCUCUUUUUGAACAGAGUGUUUAUUGCUAUAAUGCCUUAACACUUGCUUUUUGGGCUUAUGUAGGGAGGGCUAACUUGUUUUUUUAGUGGAGACUUUCAAGUUGGAAAAAAUCUUAUCAGAGAAGCUGUUUCCCCCCCAAAACAAACAAGAGCCUCAUCUCAACUUGAUUUGACCUAGAUGGCACGAUUUUGAACCUAGAGCCCUCUCUGAUGAGACAGUUGACAAAUCUUAGAAAGGGGUUAAAAAAUUGAACUUUAUUUUGAGUCUUAUGGGAUAAUUCAGUCUGGUAGUAUUAUAGGAAUUUAAUUGACUGAGCACCUCCUUUUUCUGAGGGCCAAAAUGCUUGCUGUGGAAAGAAGGAUCAUCAAAUAUGUUAACUGAUUUUUCAUCAUAUAAGAUGACCGUUAACUUUUAUAUCAUCUGAAUUUCUCAAUGUUUUAGGUAGGAAAAAUGUGAAUAACUUGUUGCCGGUGUGUAAAUCAUGACUGAUCUAUAAUGUAGCCCCUGAAUUCUUUAAUACUGAUCCCAGCACAAGAAGUGGGGAUCUUUGUUCCUCACCCUUGAAUCUGGGUGGAUUUUGACUAUGGCAGGAGGAACAUUGUACCAUUUCUUUCCGGUUCUUUUGGCACACACAUAUUGAUCAUGUUCUAAGGAAGCCAAGCAACCUAUGAAGUGGUUGCUGGUUGCAUGUGGGUGUCGUAGCUGAUGACCACAGGAACGAUCCAAGCUAUCAGUAUCAACCACCAGACAUGUGGGAAGAAGCCUCUGUAGUGGCACCAGUGCCACCACCUCCUAUUAUAGGUGCAUAGACUCUAAGUCAAGAACCACCUAGCCAAGCCCAGUCAACCAACAGAACCAUGAGAAAGAGCAAUGAAAUAACUAUUAUUGUUUUAAGCCACUAAGAUUUCGAGUUGUUAUGCAGUAGUAGGAACUAGAAAUCUAGAUAUAUGACUUGAGCUCAAUUUAGAUAUGCUUUAACAGCAAAACAUGCUAUUAUUCUUUGCCAACAGUUCAAUUAUACCAACAAUUCAUUUUAUCUUCUAAUAAAGUAUCAUUCUUCCUUGUAUCAGGGGCAUUUGAUGGUAGAAUAUCAGGUAAUUAUAGAAGUUAAUAAAAAUGGUUUUGGCAUGGUUGUUGAUCAUAUUUGGGGAUCCAGGUCAGGUGGAACUAAUUUGUCAUCUUACGUGUUAAAAAACCAGUUCAUAUAUUGAAUGCAUCUUUCUUCCUAAGUGAGUACUUUGGAGAAUAAAGUCUUAUAGUAAGGGGUGGGUGUUAUUUGGGGUGCUAUUAUGUUUCCAAGCUAAACUAUUCCAGAAUCUUUAAAUCUCUUUUUGUACUUUGAAUCUCUUCAUAUAUUAAAUCUUUGAAUCUCUUUAUAUCCUCAUUUUAAAUGAAUUUUAAAGUGUUACUUAGUAUUAUUUUAACCCUUAGGUUCACUAAGAAAUUAUUUUCAGAGGUUGUUUUACUUAUCUCCUGUUUCUGAUAUGUUAGUUCUUUGGUUUUUCAGUUAUUGUUUGAUCUCAGCCAAUUAGGAUACCUAACUUCAUUUUGCUAGUGUGUUAGAAGGUCACCAAUGCUUUAUGUUCCAAUAGCUUAUUCUGUAUUCUCUGAAAAUGCUUUCUUCUGUAAAUUGAUCAUUAACAUGGAGUUUAUAAACCAUUUUAAUUAAUAAAUCCACUGUUUUCCUUUGUGAAUUAAAUACACUUUCAUGUGGGUAGAGAGGAGAGUAAGCUCCAGUUCAAAGAGGCUCAGGAUUUCACCUACAAAAAGUAAUCUGGUUUUAAAACCUCAUUUAAGCUUUAUCUGGCAUUACAAAAGCUCAAAAUCCUAUACACUGCUUUCAAGUAGAAAGUAAUGGAAUUUCAAUUUUGCUAAAUAGAUUGCCUAGUGAUGCUUGAAGAGUUUGAUUUAACUAGAUAAAUGAAUUAAAGAGCUGAAAAAGGAAGUGCAGGAAUGAAUUUUGUAUGUGUUUGUUGGGUUAUGUAAUAGAAAAAUUUUGAUAGUAGCUAUACAUCUUUAAAAGAGAUAGAAAAAUUUGAUUUAAAUUCUAACAUGUCACUAUAUACAGCAAAUAAUUU